rnacentral:lncRNA from 1 species
UUAUAUUGUGUAUGCUGCCAGUUGUGGAUAUUAAAUAUGUUUUAUGCAGGUUGAAAUUUUUGGGAUUGUUCAAAUUACAGGAGAGACUCUGCCAAAAUUUUGGCAGAAAGUCUCGUACUCUUAUUCCUUUUGGAAAAAGGAGACUACAGUUUUAGUAAGUGGUCCAGGCAUCUAGGUGAUGUCGGAAUUUCCACAGGAUUCAUCCCGGGUUUCAGGAAAUUCAGGGCGG